rnacentral:rRNA from 1 species
GAUUCCCUCAGUAACGGCGAGUGAAGCGGGAACAGCUCAAGACGUUAAUCUCAUAGGGAAUAUUUCUCUGUGCGAGUUGUAGUCUAUGGACACUUCUUCUGCAGCUAAGCAAUCGGACAAGUCUUUUGGAAUAAAGCGCCAGAGAGGGUGAUAGCCCCGUCUGCUGAAUGCUUGGUUGCUAUAUGUAGAAAUGUCUGAGAGUCGGGUUGUUUGGGAAUGCAGCCCUAAGCGGGAGGUACACACCUUCUAAAGCUAAAUAUUCAGGCAAGAGACCGAUAGCGAACAAGUACCGUGAGGGAAAGUUGAAAAGCACUCUGGAGAGAGAGUGAAAAGUACGUGAAACCAUGGGUAGGGAACCGCUUGCACGGUACACUGAGCCUGAGCAAUCAGGCCGCCCAGCACCAGUUUUGAAUUUCCUGUUGGAAAAGCCCAAGGCAAAGGUAGCGGCCAAUUUAUUUGGCUGUGUUAUAGGGCCUUGGGUGUUACAAUGGGUCAGACUGAGGAACGCGGCAUCCCUUUUUUGUGAGGGCGCCAGGUGCAGCUUGGCCUUGGGCUUUGGUCGGUAGAGACUGCAUGCAGACUCUGCUGGCUUCAUUGCUUAAGCCUACCAGGCUGGCGCUGGUUGUUUUAUUGCCAAGGGUAGCUGGGAAGUGCUGAAC